GAGAGGCCCAAACGUUAUUCGGAUUUACUGGGCUUAAAGAGUUCGUAGGCGGUGCGGUAAGUGGGGUGUGAAAGCCCUCGGCUCAACCGAGGAACUGCGCUCCAAACUACCACACUCGAGGGAGAUAGAGGUGAGCAGAACUGAUGGUGGAGCGGUGAAAUGCGUUGAUAUCAUCAGGAAUACCGGAGGCGAAGGCGGCUCACUGGGUCUCUUCUGACGCUGAGGAACGAAAGCUAGGGGAGCAAACGGGAUUAGAUACCCCGGUAGUCCUAGCCGUAAACGGUGAGCACUGGACCGGAGGGCUGCACAGCUUUUCGGUCGUAGCGAAAGUGUUAAGUGCUCCGCCUGGGGAGUAUGGUCGCAAGGCUG
rnacentral:rRNA from 1 species